rnacentral:tmRNA from 1 species
GGGGAUGUAAAGGUUUCGACAAGUUUAAGGCUUGUUAUUUUGCAGUAGUGUAGUAGACUAUAAAUACUUUUAGGCUUUUUUAUAAACGGAAAAGAACAAACAAACGAAGAUUACUCAAACAUUGCGUUUUCUUCAAACCAAUCAAAUCUAGUAUUCGCUUAAUUUAGCAACUAGUUGUUAUUAUCGCUUUCCUAGGCUUUAAUAAUAUUAUUUUAGGAUAUGCGGGUGGAUUUUGAUUAAAGCCCAAAGAAUUUUUAAUCAACCUCUUCUAAUUAGUUUUGUUUAUUUAAAUAAUAGAUAGUUGUAAAAUAUAAAUAACCUAAACUGUAGACGAAUAAUUUUGUUUUACCCUUGGACCCGGGUUCGACUCCCGGCAUCUCCACCA